rnacentral:sRNA from 1 species
GCCGGGCAUGGUGGCGCAUGCCUGUAGUCCCAGCUACUUGAGAGGCUGAGGUGGGAGGAUCACUUAAGCCCAGGAGGUUGAGACUGCAGUGAGCUAUAAUCGUGCCACUGCAUUCCAGCCUGGGUGACAAAGUGAGAUCCUGUUUCAG